rnacentral:rRNA from 1 species
UACAGAGGGUGCGAGCGUUAAUCGGAAUUACUGGGCGUAAAGCGCGCGUAGGCGGCUUUGCAAGUCGGGUGUGAAAUCCCCAGGCUUAACCUGGGAACUGCAUCCGAGACUGCAUAGCUAGAGUAUCGGAGAGGGAAGUGGAAUUUCAGGUGUAGCGGUGAAAUGCGUAGAUAUCUGAAGGAACAUCAGUGGCGAAAGCGACUUCCUGGACGAAUACUGACGCUCAUGUGCGAAAGCGUGGGGAGCAAACAGGAUUAGAAACCCCGGUAGUCC